rnacentral:rRNA from 1 species
CCCCCAGUCAUGAAUCACACCGUGGUAACCGUCCUCCCGAAGGUUAGACUAGCUACUUCUGGUGCAACCCACUCCCAUGGUGUGACGGGCGGUGUGUACAAGGCCCGGGAACGUAUUCACCGCGACAUUCUGAUUCNCGAUUACUAGCGAUUCCGACUUCAC